rnacentral:lncRNA from 1 species
CCAGCUUUAACGCAGUCACAUGAUCUCAGUUUGAUUGACAGGUAAACGUCUUUUGGUGGUGAAGCUGUGGGUUUACCAGAACCAUGAGUCCAGAAGCCCGCCUAUCGCUCCUCCUCCUACCGCUCCUCCUCCUGCUGCUCCUGCAAGCUCCUCUGAACUCAGCCAAUGCAGGCCCCGGGCAGGAUUUCACCGUGGUGUUCCCAGAGAACAUCGCAGACUAUCAUCCCACUUCUCCUGAGAACCAUGUCUGGGUCACCGCCUUGUACGAUGACACGACGGUCACUGUUGACUCUCAGGAUGAUACAUUGGAUGCUGGACAAACAGAACGCUUUCACAUCAACCUGGAACUCAAAAAGCUAAAAAUCCAAAGCAACAGCAGCAAUCCGUCGUUCCUGGUCUCCAACAAAACCACUAAAGUUAUCAGCAACAAAGACAUCGUCCUUCAGGCCGUCAGCAACAAGAACAACAGCUUACAGACGGCCGUCAUCAUCCCCACCGACCGACUAGGAACCAAAUAUUUCAUCCCGCCAGUGCCCAAAAUCCAAGGAGCCACAAUCAGAGACAGCAUCACCAGCAUCAACGAGAGAGGUCCAUUCCGACUGAUUAUCGUUAACACCGACCAGGACAACACAGUGACUGUUGGGGGUCCGGCCGGAACCCGACAGGUGUCUCUUAAGAAGAACCAGGUGGCUCAAACUUGGGUUCUGCAGAACGAGUCUCUGCAGGAGGUCACGGCGGAGAAGCCGGUGGCGGUCCUCUUCAGUCACCCGUGUGCCUUCCACCAAAACUGCAUCUGUCGGCUUCUUUACGCCCUGCUGCCACCGGCCACAAGCGACAUGAAGAAGUUCCUCGUUCCCCCGCUGUUCAACGACUGGGCCCAGACCUCCGUGCUCCUGUCAGAGACGGGAUCCAGGAGGGAGGAGCCCUGCAGCGCAAACCAAGCUUUCAUUGACACAGCAGGCAGCGCCGUCCUGUACCGCCCGGGUCUGCUGCUUCCUCUGGUCUCAGAGGAGAACCUCGGGAGCUGUUUCGUGGUCAAAAGCAUUGGAGACACAAACUAUGCCGUCAUCGUGGUCCGUAAGAAUGAGACGGCGGGUGUUCAGAUCGGAGAUGCGGCCCUGAACAGAGACAUCCAGCAGUGGCAGGAGCUGGGCGGGACGGACUACGUCUCCACCAACGUCAGUCUGACCGCAGACCAAAACAUCAUCUGGCACAAGUCCUCCAAAAUGGCCGUCUACUUUGUGGGGAGAAAGGAUGAUGUUUUGUUUGGGAACCCAGCGCCUGCCCUCAGUGCCACCCCAGGUAAGGACCGUCUCCAGACCACAGAACAGCUGAUUCUUCUGCUCAAGGUUCUGUAGAACCACCAGCACAAACAGGAGCAGAACUCAUCAACCAUUCAGUCCAUGAACAAAGUUCACCAGGAACAUGGAAAGAGUUCUUUCACUGAGGCAAGCUGCAAACAGCAUCACCUCGUCCUCAAAUCCCACAGUUUCAGGACAACAAACAACCUGAACACAGAAGAUCCUCUGUUGAGAGGAACCAGUCAGGAUGUUGUUUUAAAAGUUCAAGUCAAAAAAGAAACCGGAAGGAAGAAUCAGGAUAAAAGGAUCAGGAAGGAAGAAUCAGGAUAAAAGGAUCAGGAAGGAAGAGUGUUGAGGUAUCAGGAAAGAAAAACCAGGAACAAUCAGGAAGGAAGAAUCAGGAUAAAAGGAUCAGGAAGAAUCAGAAUAAAAGGAUCAGGAAGCAUCAAACCUGUUAGUGGAGGUACAUUUCAAACGAGCGUUGCCAUGGUGAACCUUGACCUCCUGACUUGCACAAUAGGGUUGCUGCCUGAACAUCCGAUGGGCGGACAGUGUUCCUGAAGCUGUUGUCCUCCUCUCUCCCAGACUCCAGAGGCUGUGUCGUGGUUCCAGAGGUCCUGAACAUUUCCUCAGAUCCAGUCAGCUGGCAGGAGUCCGUCGCCUCUUGCCAAACCCGCGACCAGAAGCUGGCCAGUCUUUCCAGCGAGGCCUUCCGGAGACAUGUCUGCAGCAAGCUUCCCCGGGAAAGCGGCGUGAAGGAAGUUUGGAUCGGCAUGCGCCGCAGCUCCGUGACGGGCGAGUGGUACUGGCUGGACUCCACGGCCUCGGUCAAUGAGACGCACUGGGACGAGGGGUCUCCGGGGACGGUGGACGGCGGGCAGUGCGUCUCGAUGAGCCUGAAAAACUCCAAGGACUUUGUCUGGCAGGACCAGGACUGCUGCAAGGCCGCCAACCCUCUCUGCUACAGAGAGCCGGUUCUGAUGCCGCUGAGUUAGAACCGCUCCUGAGUUGGACCACCACCUUGCUGAGUCGUGGUGUUUGACAGGAUCUGCUUCAUCUUUAAGCUGAAUGAGUCUUAUUGUUCUUCUCCUCCGUGUAACCCUCGCCUGGGAGGUUCUGUAGGAAGUUCUGCUUCUCUGUAAAAAUAAAGUUCUGCUGCUUCUGAUGUUUGGGUGGUUUUUCUGAAGCUGUGAGUCCACAAACCCGACUCUGAUCCGAUUCACUUUCAGACUAAACACAUCAACAGUUUUUCAUCAAAGUUCUGGUCUGGUAGUCAGAACUGGCCUGGGCGAACGCCUAGGGCGCCAUCUGCUGGAGGAGGAGCCAAAUCACAAUGAUUACUUUAGAUUAAUUAUUUCUUUCUUUUCUGAUUAACAGUUUGAUUCACUCAUUUAAUGUAACAAUGUCAUCAUUGAGAAACAUGAAUAAAACCAUUUAAAAGUUUGAUGUAAUAACUCUGUACGC